rfam:Gossypium raimondii Chr04_contig_269, whole genome shotgun sequence.
AUCCCAUGAUGAGGACAUUUACGAAGUAAUUCCUUGAAUCUUUCUCAUGCCUCAUAUAAGGACUCGUCAUCCAAUUGUGAAAAGGUAGUUAUCUUAUUUCACAACUU